AGCCUUGCCCGGUGAUCCUGAUCAACGACCACACCCACGAGUCUGCCGAGACGUUCCGUCUGGCACUGGGGGAGGCGCGCGCCGGCGGCGGCGGCCCGGCGCUCCUGGGACCCAGGAACACCACGGAGGUCACCGUGCGUGACACGGCUGACAUACCUCUGAUCAAGUUCGAGUCGCGCCGUGUGCGGAUCACCGAGCCAACCAGCGCUCAGGAGCCGGUGGCGGCGCGGGUGGCCGUGGUGCGACUCGGGGACCUUAGCGGCGCCUCUGUCGUCAGACUGUACACCAGAGACGGCUCGGCACGCGCCGGACAGGACUACCAUGGCGUCUCCAGAGAGCUGGAGUUUGGCGUGAACGUCUCACGACUGGUGGUUCCUGUUGAGAUCCUGUUCGACAGGGACCGGGAGCACCGUGAGGCCUUCUCCGUCCAUCUGACAGAGGACCA